GACAUGCUGACACCACUUGUUGCUGGAUUAACACCGCGCGUAAAACAAAUCCAAACUAAAAAAACGUGGAGGUGUCUACCAUGAGUUCACCGUGAGACUGUGCUGGUCUGGAGAGAGGAAAAGUUUUUUGCCCGUGAGCUCCGAUGAGCUUGAGGAAACAGCUGAUUGAGGCGUGGUUACACCGACAGGGGGCCUCGGUUAAGACAAGACACUCCCCCCGGAUUACAUGACCUGUCUACCAAACUUGACACUCUCAUCUUGUCGAGCCCAUUCACGCCACAGCAAUCACUCACUGGAGCCAAUAGGCCACACCUGAUCCUCGUUCAAACCUGCCAAUGUACAUCAGUGUCAAAUCAUCUGCAUACACACGAGGACUGAUUAAGAAGAUUUCACUGUGUCCUGUUAUAAACUCUGGUCACAGGCCUCUCCCACCUUAACUAUGUUUCUGAUCUAGGUGUGAUAGUUGUCUUGGAGAGAGGACAGGAAACCUGACAGGCCUGUGAGAGCUGAUAGGGCUCAUGUGGUUGGAGUUUCAGGUGCAGCUCCACUUUGAAUCUCAAUCAGGCUGCAGUGUCAAGAUCAGGUGGCAGGUACCAAACACUGCAGACGAUGGCCCAGCUGCUCAUCAUCCUCAGCAGAUAAUUCACAAUGCCAAACUUACUGCUGUUCCAGAAAGCAUCCCCAAACCGAGGAUCGUACUGCAAGACGGAGAUGAGGUCAUAUCAAGCAUAGAUGUGAGGAGAAGAUUUGACCAUGGCUCGCUGGAUCAUUCCCAUCAACCCUCCAUGCACCUGGGCAACCUGAGAGACGAGUUGAACUCAAGAUUUUGUACUAUGAGAUGAAUCUUUCUGCUUUUACCGCAUACUGUGUGCUGUUCUGACCUGAGAGGCAACAGGACGCCGUAGCGGAUGAGCACGCCGAGGCCCCACAGCACAAAGUAGAGGAUGUCAGACAUCUCAAACUCCGGCUCUGACGGCAGACAGCUGGCUAAACCGCGGAGCUCCUGGAUCUCCUGCUGCAAAGACGACGGUGGUUCUUUGGCUAUGAUUCCU